GAUUACUACUUUCUCACUCUAGCCUCAGUCUUUUCUCUUCAAAGGGUUUAUAUAUAUGAAACUUUAUGGUUGUGUAUGACAUUAUUACCCUCAGAAUGACGGAUUCCAUGAAUUAUAAAUCAAUUGGGCAUUUUUGUGAAAAUUAAAGCUCUAAGCUUUCCACAUCCAAAAUCAAAACUCAAAGCCGUCGUCGCGAUUACCAAUCCAAUCCAAUCCAAUCCAAUCCAAUCGUCACAACCAGAAAAAUGGCGAAAGGUUUGAUAUGGGCGAGUGCUGAGGAUUUGGCUCGGAACAGGGGGCGGGUUCUGUCGCUGUACCGGCAGAUACUGAGGAGCCUGAACUCACCCGAUCUGCCGUUCAACUUCGCGGCGCGGCUGGCGAAGAAGGCGGAGGCUCGCGCGAUCUUCGUGGUGGCCGCGGAGGAGCGAUCCGUCCACAACAUCGAGGACCUCAUAGGCACCGGCGAGUACGCUCUCUCGCUUCUCAAGAAAGGCCAAAUCCCCAAAUAUAGUUUGUCUAGCUGAGACGGAGAGGUGUUGGGAUUAAAAAUGACCAUUUUUGAAGCUGGGAUUCUGCAUUCAUCUAUUUUCCAUAUUUCGAUUUCGAAAAAUAAGGUUUUGAACUUGAUUUUUGGUUUGAGAAUGUAUGAAUAAUUAUAAUUUCGAUUCGAUCUUAUCUCAUCAAUAUGUUAUGUAGUAGUAUUAUUAAAAUUUACAUGUAAAAAGUCUUAGUGA